ensembl:lncRNA
GAGAUUUCAAACGUAGUUGGCUUUUCUAAAUAUAAAACUAAUUAAAACUAACACAUGUAUUAAUAUUUCAUCACUGUUUACAAGUGUUGUUGAAUUUGAACUGAAUGCGCGCGUAACGUAACGUUUACGUAACGUGACUAUCCACAUGAGUAGAUCCCAACGCGACGUGACGGACAUGCCAGCAGUGAAACACACUGCUCAACAGUCUGGAAGUUUCCUACUUCAGCCAGAUGGACACCCGUUUCAGCAAACGUGGCAGGAAGGCUGAGGAUAAUGAAGCUAACCCCAAGCUGCUACACGCUGUGGAAGAGGACCUGGCACAAGAAUGUGAAGAGGUCCCUAUUCAUCCAAAGAAAAAAAAGCUAAUCAAAUAUUCCCCAAGGAAAACCAUGUCUCCAACAGGUGCAUUGGAGUUGGCCAAACUGAAGGAACAAACCAAGAUGGACCGACAGAAGAUAGAACACCUUGAGGAGCGCAUUAAUUACCUGGAGGAGGCCAUCAAGGACCUGAAAGCUGACAAGGACGUCCUACUUGCCAAAAUUAAGGAAGCUCCCAGCACACUUACAUCUUCUGGGAAAGGCAGAAAGACUGCUCCAGAACCUUCUUCAUCUUCGACUUCAACAUCGACAUCUCCCUCCUCAGACUCCAGCUUCUUAUUAUCCUCAGAAGAAGAGAAGAAAAAGAAAAGGAAGAAGUCCAAGAAAAAGACCAUUAAGUCAAAAAAACACACUGAAUCAUACAGCGGUUCAAGAAAUGGAGUGAUCCGUCGCUAUAAGGAUGUCCUUCGUAUCUUCAAAAAGUGUGGAUCCAUGAAGAAAGCCUUUGUGAAAAUGAAUGUUGAUCGAAACACAAUUGCACGCACAGCUAUAAUUGCUUAGCUAGCAAUGUUUUGUGUUGAAAUACAUAAAGGAAAAACUAUCUCUUGACUUGUCUGUUGCUUUUGUUAAGGUAUUAUUAUCAUCUGACAGUGUAAUAACACUUAAUUACAUUUUAACGAAACAUUCAAAUCGUUCCACUUUACUUGAAUUCAAAGAAAACAGUCAUGACACUUAUAAACUGGUUUUACUAAGUAAUUAC